UACAGGGGGGGCAAGCGUUGUCCGGAAUUACUGGGCGUAAAGCGUGCGCAGGCGGCUUUGCAAGACAGAUGUGAAAUCCCCGGGCUUAACCUGGGAACUGCAUUUGUGACUGCAUGGCUGGAGUGCGGCAGAGGGGGAUGGAAUUCCGCGUGUAGCAGUGAAAUGCGUAGAUAUGCGGAGGAACACCGAUGGCGAAGGCAAUCCCCUGGGCCUGCACUGACGCUCAUGCACGAAAGCGUGGGGAGCAAACAGG
rnacentral:rRNA from 1 species